rnacentral:rRNA from 1 species
GACGAACGCUGGCGGCGUGCUUAACACAUGCAAGUCGAGCGGAAAGGCCUGCUUUCCCUUGUGGAUUGCGGGUACUCGAGUGGCGAACGGGUGAGUAACACGUGAGUGAUCUGCCCCCAACUUGGGUAUAAGCCUGGGAAACUGGGUCUAAUUCCCGAUAGGACUGCAGGGUGGUGCCUGUGGUGGAAAACGAUUUUCUAGUGGUUGGGGAUGAGCUCGCGGCCUAUCAGCUUGUUGGUGGGGUAAUGGCCUACCAAGGCGGCGACGGGUAGCCGGCCUGGGAGGGUGGACGGCCACAUUGGGACUGAGAUACGGCCCAGACUCCUACGGGGGGCAGCAGUGGGGAAUAUUGCACAAUGGGCGGAAGCCUGAUGCAGCGACGCCGCGUGGGGGAUGACGGCCUUCGGGUUGUAAACUCCUUUCGACCGCGAGGAAGCCACCUGGUUGGAAGGGUGGUGACGGUAGUGGUAGAAGAAGCACCGGCUAACUACGUG